UAUAGCGCGUGGUUCACACACAU
rnacentral:siRNA from 1 species